UAGGGAAUCUUCCGCAAUGGGCGAAAGCCUGACGGAGCAACGCCGCGUGAGUGAUGAAGGUCUUCGGAUCGUAAAACUCUGUUAUUAGGGAAGAACAAAUGUGUAAGUAACUAUGCACGUCUUGACGGUACCUAAUCAGAAAGCCACGGCUAACUACGUGCCAGCAGCCGCGGUAAUACGUAGGUGGCAGGCGUUAUCCGGAAUUAUUGGGCGUAAAGCGCGCGUAGGCGGUUUUUUAAGUCUGAUGUGAAAGCCCACGGCUCAACCGUGGAGGGUCAUUGGAAACUGGAAAACUUGAGUGCAGAAGAGGAAAGUGGAAUUCCAUGUGUAGCGGUGAAAUGCGCAGAGAUAUGGAGGAACACCAGUGGCGAAGGCGACUUUCUGGUCUGUAACUGACGCUGAUGUGCGAAAGCGUGGGGAUCAAACAGG
rnacentral:rRNA from 1 species